GCCCGUCACACACGGUGUCUCCAGGAGAUGCGGGUUUGCCAGAUGCCAGCGGGGUGACCGGGGACACGGUGUCUGUGCUGAGCUGUCCUUCCCCACUGAGGGAUGCUCCUGGUGAUGCAGAUCUCCACUGCUCUCCUCCUUGGCUCUUCCGUGGGAGAAAAGUGAGGAGCAAAUCACACCCUGGAGAAUUCAGGGAACACGUGCCAGCUCUGGCUGUACAGCCACAGACUGGGGGACACUGGAAAUCCCAAACAUCCAGGGUGGCCAAGCCCCUGAUGGCUGCAGAGAGCUGAGAAUCAAAUUCCCGGGUGCAUCCCAGGGUCCCUGUGAAUCUGCUUUAGGAUGAGUGAGGAGCCCACCACAAAGCCAGUGCCCAAGAGACUCCUGUGACCAGGGCAGACCGUGUCCCCAGGGCUGGCAGAGAGGGGUGUUUGUGGGGUGUCUGACCAUUCUGCUUCCCUCCAGGUCCAGGGGCCGUGCCCGGAGUCGGAGGUGUCCCUGGCUUGGUUCCUGGCGUUGGAGGUGUCCCCGGGGCGGUGCCUGGUGUCGGAGGUGUCCCCGGGGUGGCAGGUGACUGUUCCAGGAGCCCUGUCCCCAUGGCCUGGCUCUGUGGGGCCAUGGUGGCUGAGGGUCCCUGUCUCUCUUGUCCCCAGGAGUGCCAUCGGCAGCAGCAGCAGCAAAGGCAGCUAAGUAUGGCGCCGCCGUUCCCGGUGUCGGUGUGGGCGGUGUCCCCGGCCUGGUGCCCGGAGUCGGAGGUGUCCCUGGCUUGGUUCCUGGCGUUGGAGGUGUCCCCGGGGCGGUGCCUGGUGUCGGAGGUGUCCCUGGGGUGGCAGGUGACUGUUCCAGGAGCCCUGUCCCCAUGGCCCGGCUCUGUGCGGCCAUGGUGGCUGAGGGUCCCUGUCUCGCUUGUCCCCAGGAGUGCCAUCGGCAGCAGCAGCAGCAAAGGCAGCUAAGUAUGGUACGUGCUGUGUGGGACCCAUGGUCACCGCCCUGCAAAACCUGGUGGGAUCGUGAAACACAUCCCACAGUUUCUAUCAGGACACAGAACUGAUCCUUGUCCUGCCCCGCUCGGGG
rnacentral:lncRNA from 1 species